UCACCAUUGGCGAAGCCGCCGGUUGUUCCGGUGGUGACGGUAGGUGGGGAAGAAGCGCCGGCUAACUCUGUGCCAGCAGCCGCGGUAAUACAGAGGGCGCGAGCGUUGUCCGGAAUCACUGGGCGUAAAGGGCGCGUAGGUGGCGGCAUAAGGCCGUGGUGAAAGUCGGGGGCUCAACCCUUGAUCGGCCAUGGCAACUGUGUCGCUAGGGCACCGUAGAGGCAGAUGGAAUUCCGGGUGUAGCGGUGGAAUGCGUAGAGAUCCGGAAGAACACCAGUGGCGAAGGCGGUCUGCUGGGCGGUGGGACGUGAGUCCCAAGAGCCGACACUGAGGCGCGACAGCGUGGGGAGCAAACAGGAUUAGAUACCCUGGUAGUCCACGCCGUAAACGAUGGGCACUAGGUGCUCCGGGGAGCGACCCUUGGAGUACCGGCGCUAACGCAUGAAGUGCCCCGCCUGGGGAGUACGGCCGCAAGGCUGAAACUCAAAGGAAUUGACGGGGGCCCGCACAAGCGGUGGAGCAUGUGGUUUAAUUCGACGCAACGCGCAGAACCUUACCUAGGCUUGACAUGCACGGGAAAGCUGCUGGAAACAGUGGCCCCUCUUCGGAGCUCGUGCACA
rnacentral:rRNA from 1 species